rnacentral:rRNA from 1 species
CUACGUGCCAGCAGCCGCGGUAAUACGGAAGGUCCAGGCGUUAUCCGGAUUUAUUGGGUUUAAAGGGAGCGUAGGCGGAUUGUUAAGUCAGCGGUUAAAGGGUGUGGCUCAACCAUGCAUUGCCGUUGAAACUGGCGAUCUUGAGUGCAGACAGGGAUGCCGGAAUUCGUGGUGUAGCGGUGAAAUGCUUAGAUAUCACGAAGAACUCCGAUCGCGAAGGCAGGUGUCCGGGCUGCAACUGACGCUGAGGCUCGAAAGUGUGGGUAUCAAACAGGAUUAGAUACCCUGGUAGUCCACACAGUAAACGAUGGAUGCCCGCUGUUAGCGCCUGGCGUUAGCGGCUAAGCGAAAGCAUUAAGCAUCCCACCUGGGGAGUACGCCGGCAACGGUGAAACUCAAAGGAAUUGACGGGGGCCCGCACAAGCGGAGGAACAUGUGGUUUAAUUCGAUGAUACGCGAGGAACCUUACCCGGGCUUGAAUUGCAGACGACAUAUUUAGAGAUAGAUAUUCA